ACUCCACGGACCUCAGCGGCAUCACCAUCGACUACGGCUCGGCGUUCCCGCUCAACCUCCGGCGCGCCACGCAGCUGGACAUCGAGGCGGAGUUCCAGCUCGACCGCCGCGCCGUCAUGUCGCUCAACGAGGCCGACGUGGGGUACAACUGCAGCACGAGCGGUGGCGCCGCGGCCCGCGGUGCCCUCGGCCCCUUCGGCCUGCUCGUCCUCGCCGACAAGCACCUGCGCGAGCAGACGGCCGUCUACUUCUACGUGGCCAAGGGCCUGGACGGCUCCCUCACCACGCACUUCUGCCAGGACGAGUCCCGGUCCUCCAGCGCCAACGACAUCGUCAAGCGCGUCGUCGGCAGCUCCGUCCCCGUGCUGGACGACGAGACCACGCUCUCGCUCCGCGUGCUCGUCGACCACUCCAUCGUCGAGAGCUUCGCGCAGGGCGGAAGGUCGACGGCAACCUCGCGCGUCUACCCCACCGAGGCCAUCUACGCCAACGCCGGCGUGUUCCUCUUCAACAACGCCACCGCCGCGCGCGUCACCGCCAAGAAGCUCGUCGUCCACGAGAUGGACUCAUCCUACAACCACGACUACAUGGUCACGGACAUCUGAUGCUGCUGCUGAUCCGUCGAUCGUCC
rnacentral:lncRNA from 1 species